UGAUAGUUGCUUCUUACGGAGUCCCACUCCCAGUCGCCAAUUUCUCUCGCCAUGGAGGAGAGCACAUUCGAUCCUGAUCUGAUUAUCGCCUUCUUCAAGCUUGAGUUGAGCAGAAGAUCACUUGAGUGCGAGAAAAACGAGAGUUCUGAUGUUAUGGACUGCGAGCGGUGCUUAGGUAAAUCGUAGAAUGCUUAAUUUAGUUCUUAAGUUCUCACGAUUCCACCAAUUUUACGCAUAUUUCUACUGGCAAACAUAUGCACAUAGGCAGGAGUACAAAUGCAGAUGGAAACGCGGCACAAGUUAAUAGGCUUCAAAAUAAAAUAAUACAGAAUAACUCUAAAUAAAUGGAAUGCUCUAGAAUACUUCAUCUUGUCCUUUUCUCGAGUGAUGAAAUGAACGUUUCCAUUUUCCUCAACACAUGUUUCAAGUACUUUGCCGUUGGGGAGAGUUGGCAAAUUUCUUCCUAACUUUGUAGUCUUAUUCUGAUCUCAAUACAAAUACCAUAAUCUAUGGAAGUAGAAAUCAGGAUGCAGCUUUGUUUUCGUGAGCAUAAGUUUCUCUACAAAAGAAGUUUGAAAUUCCUCUCGCUGGAAUGUUUAAGCUGCAAUGG